rnacentral:lncRNA from 10 species
AUCACACCAGCUAUCUCCUGCUCCCUGUCCUGCACUGCAAAGGAGGCCUUUUCAUCCUCUCUACUGCCUCCAAUUUUUCUCACGAGGAAUGUGAGAGGAAAACCUAGAGCUUGUUCCUGAAGCAUGGUGCUAAGUCCAUAUGCAGCAGAUGGAGCUCAUGAGAAAAGAGUUGCUCUUGUGAAGACCAAAGCUUGAAAAAGCAUUCCCAGAAGCACGGAGAAGUGAGGAGAAAAGGCAAUGCACCUGGAGCUGGAGACCAAGGCCCUGUUCUUACUGAUGGCCCUUGGAGCAGAUAUUUGAAUUGGAGAGAUAAAACCGUGGUUUUUGGGGUGUUAAUUUUGGUGGCUGAUGCAUUCUGUGAUUGAUUUGGCUAUUACAACUGGUAUUGAUUUUAAACACAUUAAUUGCAAAAUCUCAAUUGUGAUUUGAUUUCUGUAUUUACAAUACUAAAAACGAGGCUUUCGCCAGGAGAAGACAAUUGGCAGUACUCAGUUGGAAGUGCUUAAUUGUUAAUAUAUAUCAGCCGUGGUUCUUCAGCGUCGUCAGUGUUGCUCAGUCUUGCUCUUUGUGGCGACUACUGAAUGCUUGAAAAAUUCUCUCCUAUACUCCCACUCUGCACUGUAGAAGAGAAAGAGAGGAGAGUGGAAGAAAAAAGAGAGGGAGAGGAGAAAGAAAGAGAGGAGAGAGAAACAUGGGCAUGGAUGAUACAUAAGGUAGUUGUAAACUGUGAUCAGCUUUGAUAAUAACUAGAUAAAUUCUUUUAAUACAAAAAUAUAUAAGGCAUUUUGCCUUUUUUUCAAAUUUCAAAUAAAUGGAUUUGUAUAGAAUGUAGUCUGUUGCCCAGAGUUUUCAUUUAGCAUAAUGCAUUUGAGAUUUAUCCAUGUUGUUGUAUAUUCUUUUUAUUGCUGAGUAGUAUUCCAUUGUGUGGAUAUACCAGUUUGUUUAUCCAUUAACCUUUGAUGGAUAUUUGGGUUUUUUUCAAUAUGAGGCUCUUAUAAAUAAACCUUCUGUAAUCAGGUCUUUGUGUAGUCACACAGUUUGUUUGUUUGUUUGUUUUUUAAAAAGAUGUUAGUAUUGUAAUUGUGUUUAAUAAGAAACUGUUCAGUAUUUCUGCAUGUCUACCAAAAAUACAUGAAAUGUUAGUUGCUUCUUUUAAAAUACUUGGUAUGUUUUUGCUUUUUUAUUUUAGCAACUUAAUAUGUGUGUAUUAUAACCUCAUUGUGGUUUUAAAUUACAUUUUCCUCAGUAACUAAUAAUGCUGAGCAUCUUUUAAUGUAUUUAAUGGUCAUUCAUAUAUCUCCUCAUGAAAUGUCUGUUAAAAUUGUAUGCUCAUUUAGAAAAAUCAGGAUGAUUGUCUUGUUGAGCUUUGAAAGCUCUUUGCAUAUUAUGAAUACAAGUUCUUUAUUAGACAUA